ACAUACAGUGUGCAGAUAAGCAAAUAUUGAACGACAGCCAAACAGGAUGGUUAAAAAGGAAACGUGACAGCUCACGCCUCUCUCAAACUAUUCACGUUCACAGUCGUAACAUACAUCUCCGUGUGCCCUGGAAGAGAAAACAGAAGCUUAUUCAUCCAUGAGUGACAACAGAUUAAUGAUGGAACCAU